UUUUUUUUUUUAAUGUUUUUAUUUUAAAGAAAAGUGUCUAAUGGUGGCAUGUGCCUUUAGUCCCAGCACUGGGGAGAGAGAGUAGGUGAGAUGGAGGCCAGCCUAGUCUACUACAGAUCGAGUUCCAGAACAGCCAGGGCUACACAGAGAAACCCUAUCUCAAAACAGGGCCCCUCCAAAAAAAGAAAAAAAAGAAAGAAGAAAAAGAAAAAAAAAGAAAAAGGGUUUAGUUCAGGUCUCAGCAAGUAAAGGCACUCUAGACACGCCCAGCAGCCUUAGUCCUCUGAGCUCCACAUGUGAGCCAUCACACACACACACACACACACACACAUACACACACAGACUCACAAUAACAGUAAACUAGUAAUUCUAAGUCCUGAGGAGGCGGCUGAAGAGAUGGCUCAGCAGUUCAGAACACCUGCUGGCCCUGCACAGGACCCAGGUCCAAUUCACAGCGCACACAUGAGAGCUCACAACCGCCUGUAACUCCAGUCCCAGAUGAUCCAAGCCCUCUUCUGGCCUCCACAGACACCAAACACACAUGUGGUGUACAUUCAGACAUGCAGGCAAGACACUCAUAUACAUAGUUACCAGCUGACCAGUUUAUGUCUUAAAAGGACAAGGUACAGCUAGGAUGGGAGAACCUUCACGGCUGCUCCAGGCCCUGAGUUUGCUCCCCAACAUCACAAAGGAGGGGGGGCCACAGGUAGGCUACACUCCCCGCAGCAGACAGGGAUGCAGACUUGCCUCUACCUGAUGAUUCAGAGCGGAGAACUUAGCUACCGUCAGGCACAGUGCCCAGUACCUCAGCCUCCCAGGCAGCCCCGAAGAAUGCUAUCCAUAUCCUGGCCUCCUACCUGAGAAAAAUCUAAACGGAAAAGUGGCCCCAAAGGCCAUGUCCUGCACAGUCACAUAACCACCCCUCCCUCCGUACGUAAUCACCAGGGCCUGUCUGGAUUCUGCUACCUGCCAGCUUACGGACAUGAAGUUCUACUGUUCUGUGCCUCUGUUUCCCCAAAUGUCAAGUGGCUAGGAACCAUACCUACUGCACAUGUAAGACCACAGGCAGGUAUGUGCAGACAACUGGGAUGGAGAACAGUAACGAAUGGCUCAGCAUGUGCCAGCCCCUGGGCUCAUCCCCAGUGACAAAGAAAAAAGCAAGCCAGGUACAGUGGUGCCAGCCUUUCAUCGCAGAACUCAGAAGACUGUGAGUUCAAGGCCAGCCUGGUUUAUACAGUGAGUUCCAGCUAGCCAGGGCUGAGUAGUGAGACCUUGUCUAUUACCAAAAAAAAGGGGGGGUGUGGGGAGCACAACACUAACGGCAACGAGCACACAGCUUUAUUAUGACUGUGAUGGCUAGCGACACUCUCAGAGCUGAGGUAAGUAUCCCCAGCUGUUAAAACAUUCUGGGCUGUCACUAUCAAUAGCACCAAGGUGUUAAGACCUGAACUUGACCAAACAGUUUUCCCACCCAGCCAGACCUGCCUGUCAAAGGGCAAGGCACUCAACCAAAGCCAACAAUGUUAUCAGAACUAGAAGUCUCUUUCUGGAUCAGCCCUGUGCACUGGCCAGUCUGUCCAGGCCACUCGUUCCUCUCUCCACUUGGGAGUCAGUGAAGCAAGGCUCUGUGGUGCUCUAUGGGCCUCUAAGUCGUCCCUAGCAAUAACUGACCUAACGUACACAUCGGGACCAUCAGCUUCUCCCAGGGUCCUUCAGUCUCAGCUUGCCUCCUCUGCGCUCAGUGUGUGCACCUAAUGCUCACCAGAGCACCAAAGCUUGGAAGAGACCACCCUGUAACACAAACAUGGCCAUCGCUGUUCAAGACCCAGAACUCGCCAGUCAGUUCACAACUAUAACUCCAACCACAGGGCAUCUGAUGCCACGCAGACAGUACACAGAUAUACACAUGCAGACAAAAGACCCAUACCUAUAUACAUAAAAUACAGU
rnacentral:lncRNA from 1 species